rnacentral:rRNA from 1 species
UACGAAGGGUGCAAGCGUUGUUCGGAAUUACUGGGCGUAAAGGGCGUGUAGGUGGUAGAUUUAGUUAGAGGUGAAAUCCCAGAGCUCAACUUUGGAAUUGCCUUUAAAACGGGUUUACUAGAGGACAAUAAAGGAUAACGGAAUACCCAGUGUAGAGGUGGAAUUCGUAGAUAUUGGGUAGAACACCAGUGGCGAAAGCGGUUAUCUAGGUUGUGACUGACACUGAGACGCGAAAGCGUGGGGAGCGAACAGG